CAUGCGAGAGAGGCUGGACGGCUGACGGGCCUUCGGGUCUGAGGAAAGUCUCCCCACCGCUCCGGAUACACGAACAUCUGUAAAGGAUGUCGGGCGAGAGCCCGGGCCCUGGCACAGAAACGAUAACCAUCCUCUGAAAAUGCGAUGAUGCGGAAGCUGAGAUCUCAGGGUAAAUGGAUGAAACGGCGAACCCUCGUGGGUGCAAGUUGGAAAUCGGGGAGAAGAGAAUUCCGGACUCUCCCGGUUGUUUUUGGAAACGCAUAGCCGAAUGCCGUCACUGCAAGAGUCCUCAGGACCAUUUCCUCCACUGAUGGGUGAUAGGAAAUCUUUGCAGGAACAGAAGGGAGCUUACGUGCCUCACUCGCAUAAAC
rnacentral:RNase_P_RNA from 1 species